rnacentral:rRNA from 1 species
UACGAAGGGGGCUAGCGUUGUUCGGAAUUACUGGGCGUAAAGCGCGCGUAGGCGGAUAUUUAAGUCAGGGGUGAAAUCCCAGAGCUCAACUCUGGAACUGCCUUUGAUACUGGGUAUCUUGAGUAUGGAAGAGGUGAGUGGAAUUCCGAGUGUAGAGGUGAAAUUCGUAGAUAUUCGGAGGAACACCAGUGGCGAAGGCGGCUCACUGGUCCAUAACUGACGCUGAGGUGCGAAAGCGUGGGGAGCAAACAGG